AUGCUCUUGCACGAGGUUGAACUUGGUGAGCUCACCGAGGAUGGCAUCCUAUGGAAGCACACGGCUAGUGGGCAAUACUCAGCGGCAUCUGCAUACAAGGCGCAAUUUCUAUGAAUGGUUCUCUCACCCAUAGAUGGAAUGGUUUGGAAGGCUUGGGCUCCUUCAAAAAUCAAGUUCUUUGCUUGGUUGGCUCUACAAGAUAGAAUUUGGACUGUUGAUAGAUUGGUGAAGCAUGGAUGGCCAAAUUGUCAUCUUUGCCCUUUUUUUGAAACUGUGAUGAUUUUUAUAGCAAAUUCGAAAACUAUACAUCCUAAUGCAGAAAAAUCAAAAGUAUCAUCCCGUCGGCCUCCUGUUGGCCGAAGAGGAACUUUUCAGACUACCAUUGGCCGAAGAGGGACUUUUCGGCCAACCGUUGGCCAAAAAGGACUUUUCGGCCAACCAUUGGCCAAAAAGGACAUUUCGGCCAACAGCUGGCCAAAGAGUCCCUCUUCGGCCAACACCUGCUCUGUUGUUUUAGAAAAUUCAUAUCAAUUAGGAUUUUUAGUGUUUUAA
rnacentral:rRNA from 1 species